CCUACGGGAGGCAGCAGUGGGGAAUCUUGGGCAAUGGGCGAAAGCCUGACCCAGCAACGCCGCGUGGAGGAUGAAGCCCUUCGGGGUGUAAACUCCUGUCAGGCGGGACGAAUCCUUCGUUCCUGAAUAGGGGACGGGGUUGACGGUACCGCCAGAGGAAGCCCCGGCUAACUACGUGCCAGCAGCCGCGGUAAUACGUAGGGGGCGAGCGUUGUUCGGAAUUACUGGGCGUAAAGGGCGGGUAGGUGGCCUUGAAAGACAGGGGUAAAAUCCUCGGGCUUAACCGGAGAAGGGCGUUUGAUACUGCAAGGCUUGAGUGCGGGAGAGGAGAGUGGAAUUCCGGGUGGAGCGGUAAAAUGCGUAGAUAUCGGGAAGAACACCGGUGGCGAAGGCGGCUCUCUGGACCGCAACUGACACUGAGACGCGAAAGCUAGGGGAGCAAACGGGAUUAGAUACCCUUGUAGU
rnacentral:rRNA from 1 species